UGGCGGACGGGUGAGUAGCGCGUGGGUAACCUGCCUCAUACAGGGGGAUAACAGUUAGAAAUGACUGCUAAUACCGCAUAAGACCACAGCACCGCAUGGUGCAGGGGUAAAAACUCCGGUGGUAUGAGAUGGACCCGCGUCUGAUUAGGUAGUUGGUGGGGUAACGGCCUACCAAGCCGACGAUCAGUAGCCGACCUGAGAGGGUGACCGGCCACAUUGGGACUGAGACACGGCCCAA
rnacentral:rRNA from 1 species